rfam:Solanum tuberosum cultivar DM 1-3 516 R44 scf00120_113, whole genome shotgun sequence.
UUAAAGAAUUUGAAGACUUCAACUUGUAGACUUAAAGAAUUUGAAGACUUCAACUUGUAGACUUAAAGAAUUUGAAGACUUUUUAAGG